AACAGUUGAGAGACGCCAUGGACAGCAUCUUGGUUUAAAUUAUUAAGCUAUUACUCGGCCCAGAAGGUGGUCAGUAUAAAACACGGACUAUGGACUGGGUAUAAAACACGGAUUGAGCAUUACGGACUCCUCUCAAAACACGUACAAAAGGAAAGAACAAUAGGCUCGUUUACCAGCCGCUGUUAGGGAAGUGAGCCCGCGCUCCUACCCCAGUGGAAAUCGAGCCUAGAAUGAACAAGCGCACACUGUGCAAAGGCAGUUGCAAAGGCGACAUCUGAGGUCUUCCUCGUGCUAUGUAACCUGGCCUAUGUGACAAAAUGAGAGCCGAUCGACUGCACUGAAUCGUUUGAUUGAUGCUAUAAAUCGACACACGUGCAAAGUCCACAAUCUUCUUCAGUCAUUUGAGGCUCGAUGGCCUCCUUCAGUCAUUUGAUGAAUGAAGAAUGCAUGGUUUCUGAAACCAGCACUUGCAAUUGUGCCACGCAAGACAGCUCUAUGCACAAAGCCAGAUAUUUCGAACUGCGGGGUGAAACAUAUCGACAAAAGGAGUCACUGAAGCCAAUCGGAUGAAGAUAAUUAAUUAAAAGACUAAGACAAAUUAUAUCUGUGGAAAAACUAGGUAGGCAGGAUAGCAGAAGAAGAAUGUGGAGAAUAAACUAAGAGUCUUCUUAACUUAUUUCUUGGCCGCCAUACCCAACAUCGCCCUGCGGGCUCUGAGAUAACAGCUAUGGAACGCUGUUUGAAGCGUCAGUUGAUUCGUUCUAUUAGGUAGUUUCGAUUUAAUAUCAACAGAUGUCAUGCUUCAGUGGAGACGCCACGUUACAGUAACGACAGCAGCAAGUAAAGUCAUAUUUUACGUGUCGUUUUAGGUCUUCGCUUAUUUGUUAGAGUUAAUAACUGAACAAAAUUAUUAAUAGCUUCAUAAAGGAGAAAUAAACGACUUAAAAUUUAAUAAAUUCUAACCAUUUUCGCCUUAAAACGCCUGAAAUUAAAGAAAGUUUUAACGUUUCGGCUGUGCGCGGGUGACAGUCUUCAUUAGUGUGUGAAGCUAGUGUGCAUAUGCAAAUAGAUGAAGACCGAGUGAGUCACUAAAGCGAUGAAUUAGCCAAAGUGUAUUGUUCUCUUGGGUAGCGGUCACUGCAAUGGUUACAGUCAAAAUUUGCUAACUGGCUGAAAUUGUGCUUACGAGGCGAAAACGUUUCUGGGAAACAGAGAUUGCACUCGAGUGCUGAAGAUGAUUCUAUAAUUCUACAAUAUGAUAUUAGUAUCCAAGUGUACUAAGAAAGCAACUUCGAUGUAAAAGUCAUCAAAUACUCAUUUUUCUGACCGAUAGUAAAGAAGUUUUUCCGACAGCAUGGAUGACUUUUUAGAGUAUUGUUAGGCCGGUAGCAUGUACGGAAUACUUGAAACAACCUUGGUUACUUUCACUUGUUACACCGUAAUGCCAACCUCAUCCCAAACCAUUCACAGUUUUCUUUUAUUUUGUUCAGCGUAACCCUUAAAUACUCUUAUUGUAGACGACCAACCAUUUCGGAGAUCUGUGCGCUCUUAAAACUUACUACUUAAUACUUUUAAGCCGAUUGCGGCACGCGUAGGAAUCAAGUUGUCCAGCGCAUUAAAUGCCAAUAUCCUAGCGAUCCUUUGUUGUAUGCAUGUAGAUUUUAGCAAUGAAUCUCUUUGAAGUAUUCCUAUCCUUUAAAUUUAUGGUAUUUCAUCAUCGA